GAUGAACGCUGGCGGCGUGCCUAAUACAUGCAAGUCCAGCGAACAGACGAGGAGCUUGCUCCUCUGACGUUAGCGGCGGACGGGUGAGUAACACGUGGAUAACCUACCUAUAAGACUGGGAUAACUUCGGGAAACCGGAGCUAAUACCGGAUAAUAUAUUGAACCGCAUGGUUCAAUAGUGAAAGACGGUUUUGCUGUCACUUAUAGAUGGAUCCGCGCCGCAUUAGCUAGUUGGUAAGGUAACGGCUUACCAAGGCAACGAUGCGUAGCCGACCUGAGAGGGUGAUCGGCCACACUGGAACUGAGACACGGUCCAGACUCCUACGGGAGGCAGCAGUAGGGAAUCUUCCGCAAUGGGCGAAAGCCUGACGGAGCAACGCCGCGUGAAUGAUGAAGGUCUUCGGAUCGUAAAACUCUGUUAUUAGGGAAGAACAAAUGUGUAAGUAACUAUGCACGUCUUGACGGUACCUAAUCAGAAAGCCACGGCUAACUACGUG
rnacentral:rRNA from 1 species